rnacentral:rRNA from 1 species
GACGAACGCUGGCGGCGUGCUUAACACAUGCAAGUCGAGCGGUAAGGCCCUUUCGGGGGUACACGAGCGGCGAACGGGUGAGUAACACGUGGGUGACCUGCCCUCAGCUCUGGGAUAAGCCUGGGAAACCGGGUCUAAUACUGGAUAUGACUCCAUGACGCAUGUUGUGGGGUGGAAAGCCUUGUGCGGCUGAGGAUGGGCCCGCGGCCUAUCAGCUUGUUGGUGGGGUGAUGGCCUACCAAGGCGACGACGGGUAGCCGGCCUGAGAGGGCGACCGGCCACACUGGGACUGAGACACGGCCCAGACUCCUACGGGAGGCAGCAGUGGGGAAUCUUGCUCAAUGGGAGAAAUCCUGAAGCAGCAACGCCGCGUGAGGGAUGAAGGGCUUUUGCUUGUAAACCUCUGUAGUGAGAGAAAAAACUCCAAUCUUUGGAGCAUGAUGGUAUCUCAAAAGUAAGCCCCGGCUAACUACGUGCCAGCAGCCGCCGCCGUAAU